rnacentral:lncRNA from 1 species
GCCACCUUGAGAAGCUGCGAAGAUGGCGGAGUAAGGCGUGCCGCUGCAAACUGGCCUCUGGGCCGGGGGCGAGCAGCCCCCGGGAGGCCGAGUGCAUCUGUUGGACCGUGCGAGGAGAAGAAAAAAAAUAUCGGCCAGAGGAGAGGAACUAACCGAACAUUCUUCCUCCCUACCUUAUAGAGGGGAGUGGUCAUCUACACUAAAGCAAAGUGUUAGGCGCGUCCGUGCGAAGAGACCACCAAACAGGCUUUGUGUUCCUUAUCACAGGAAGAAAAUUUUCCUUGACCUUUAGGUGCUUUUAUAUUCAUCUCAAAAACAAAAUUCUGAACUCAGGACUUGGCAAACCACCGCUGAAACUUCACUUCUACACAGAGGCUUUCUUUCCCAGAAACCCAGACCAGAUGGAGUUUCACUCUGUCGCCCAGGCUGGAGUGCAGUGGCACGAUCUCGGCUGACUGCAGCCUCUACCUGCUGGGUUCAAGCAAUUCUUCUGCCUCAGGUUCCUGAGUAGCUGGGAUUACAGAAGUGACCUCUCAAGGCAGCCAGGGCAGCAUGGGUAGAAUACAGAUGGAAACCAACGGGAAUCCCACAAGAACCACAGAAUAAAAGGUUGUAAGUACUAGGGGUGGGGAAAAACACAAUAUGGGUAAGAAUAAAAAAUCAUAUAAGAAAUAAAAAAUAACUAGUCUCUGAAGCAUUCCUAACACCUAAGUCAGGGUGAAAAUUACAUUGUAAUAGGAAUGAGACGGAAAGAAUGUCACAUUCAAGAAAGGGUAACUCAGAUUGUAAUUUAAUUACAUGCUGGAUUGCGGAUACCCUCGUAUAUUCUGGUCAAAGCAAUCAUGGAUGUAUAAUUGUCGCUUCAGAAGAGAAAGGUAAUUUACCCCUAAUAAACACAAAAAGAGCUAACUAAUCUGAUUAACAUUUAAACAUUUAAAACUACAAAUCAUGUAAAAUGGCUAUCAUUAUAUAAAUUCACAGUUGUUGAAAAAUAAUCAAGUUGACUGGGGCCUUACUAAACAAAUUGUUCAUAGAACUAAAAUCAAGGUUUGUCUUUUGCUUAUAUUAAAAAAGAAAGUUAAUGAAAAAAAUGCGCCCUCUCCCUCUCCCUCCUCUCCCCACGGUCUCCCUCUCCCUCUCUUUCCACGGUCUCCCUCUGAUGCCAAGCCAAAGCUGGACUGUACUGCUGCCAUCUCGGCUCACUGCAACCUCCCUGCCUGAUUCUCCUGCCUCAGCCUGCCGAGUGCCUGCGAUUGCAGGCACGCGCCGCCACACUUGACAGGUUUUCAUAUUUUUUUGGUGGAGACGGGGUUUCGCUGUGUUGGCUGGGCUGGUCUCCAGCUCCUAACCGCGAGUGAUCCACCAGCCUCGGCCUCCCAGGGUGCCGGGAUUGCAGACGGAGUCUCGUCUCGUUCACUCAGUGCUCAAUGGUGCCCAGGCUGGAGUGCAGUGGCAUGAUCUUGGCUCGCUACAACCUCCACCUCCCAGCCGCCUGCCUUGGCCUCCCAAAGUGCCGAGAUUACAGCCUCUGCCCAGCCGCCACCCCGUCUGGGAAGUGAGGAGCGUCUCUGCCUGGCCACCCAUCGUCUGGGAUGUGAGGAGCCCCUCUGCCUGGCUGCCCAGUCUGGAAAGUGAGGAGCGUCUCUGCCCGCCCGCCAUCCCAUCUAGGAAGUGAGGAGCGCCUCUUCCCGGCCGCCAUCCCAUCUAGGAAGUGAGGAGCGUCUCUGCCCGGCCUCCCAUGGUCUGAGAUGUGGGGAACGCCUCUGCCCUGCCGCCCCGUCUGGGAUGUGAGGAGCGCCUCUGCCCGGCCGCGACCCUGCCUGGGAGGUGAGGAGCGUCUCUGCCCGGCUGCCCCAUCUUGAGAAGUGAGGAGACCCUCCGCCCGGCAGCCUCCCUGUCUGAGAAGUGAGGAGCCCCUCCGCCCGGCAGCCACCCCAUCUGGGAAGUGAGGAGCGUCUCCGCCCGGCAGCCACCCUGUCGGGGAGGGAGGUGGGGGGUCAGCCCCCCGCCCAGCCAGCCGCCCCGUCCAGGAGGGAGGUGGGGGGGUCAGCCCCCCGCCCGGCCAGCCGCCCCGUCCGGGAGGGAGGUGGGGUGGUCCAGCCCCCCGCCCGGCCAGCCGUCCCGUCCUGGAGGGAGGUGGGGGGGUCAGCCCCCCGCCCGGCCAGCCGCCCCGUCCGCGAGGUGAUGGGCGCCUCUGCCCGGCCGCCCCUACUGGGAAGUGAGGAGCCCCUCUGCCCGGCCACCACCCUGUCUGGGAGGUGUACCCAACAGCUCAUUGAGAAUGGGCCAUGAUGACAAUGGCAGUUUUGUGGAAUAGAAAAGGGGGAAAGGUGGGGAAAAGAUUGAGAAAUCGGAUGGCUGCUGUGUCUGUGUAGAAAGAAGUAGACAUGGGAGACUUUUCAUUUUGUUCUGUACUAAGAAAAAUUCUUCUGCCUUGGGAUCCUGUUGAUCUAUGACCUUACCCCCAAUCCUGUGCUCUCUGAAACAUGUGCUGUGUCCACUCAGGGUUAAAUGGAUUAAGGGCGGUGCAAGAUGUGCUUUGUUAAACAGAUGCUUGAAGGCAGCAUGCUCCUUAAGAGUCAUCACCACUCCCUAAUCUCAAGUACCCAGGGACACAAACACUGCGGAAGGCCGCAGGGUCCUCUGCCUAGGAAAACCAGAGACCUUUGUUCACUUGUUUAUCUGCUGACCUUCCCUCCACUAUUGUCCUAUGACCCUGCCAAAUCCCCCUCUGCGAGAAACACCCAAGAAUGAUCAAUAAAAAAAUAAAUAAAUAAAUAAAUAAAUAAAAAAGAAAAAAAUGCGCAGACUAAAAGAGAAAGAAAAGGGAAUCCUAUUACCCUAGCAAGCCAUCUAUUUUGUUUUCCUUAUCCUCUGAAAAGAUUACUGAUGAAGAGUCAGAUGUUGAUUUUAGCUCUCAUUACAAUUCUUGAGCAAGUCAUCAUAUUUGCUGGUAUAUAAGACAUAUUUAAAUAUUAGAAAGAAACAUUUUGGUCAGGCACAGUGGUUCACACCUACUGUAAUCCCAGCACUAUGAGAGGCCAAAGUGGGCAGAUAGCUUGAGCCCAGGAAUUCGAGAGCAGCCUAGGCAACAUGGUAAUACCCCGUCUUAAAAAAUAAAUAAAUGUUUUACAAGAAAAGCACUUUAAGAAAAUAUUUCAUCAUGCAUGUGCUAAAAGCAAUUUUAAAGUGGUUUGGUAAAGGAAAAAUAAAUUGUAUUAAUAUAUAGUA